CGGAGGGUGCAAGCGUUAUCCGGAUUCACUGGGUUUAAAGGGAGCGCAGGCGGACCUGUAAGUCAGUGGUGAAAUACCUGAGCUUAACUCGGGAACUGCCAUUGAUACUAUCGGUCUUGAAUGUUGUUGAGGUUUGCGGAAUGGGUCAUGUAGCGGUGAAAUGCAUAGAUAUGACCCGGAACACCUAUUGCGAAGGCAGCAGGCUAAACAAAUAUUGGCGCUGAGGCUCGAAAGCGUGGGGAUCAAACAGGAUUAGAUACCCUGGUAGUCCACGCCCUAAACUAUGAUUACUCGACAUACGCGAUACACUGUGUGUGUCUGAGCGAAAGCAUUAAGUAAUCCACCUGGGAAGUACGACCGCAAGGUUG
rnacentral:rRNA from 1 species